rnacentral:rRNA from 1 species
AUGAGCAAAGCAGACCAACCCCCAACGCCCACGCCCAUGGGGGCAUGGAGCACCACCGCUACCGCUACCACUACGCCUACGGUCUACCCCACGGCGUUCGACGUUCUCCAGCGGAAACUUCUUGUUCUAGAACCUUCAUCUUCUUUCGCUCACUGCUGGCUGGGGCUGUCAGGCUGCGGCCCCGCGUUGUUCUCCGAGCGGCAGCAGAUAUUUCUCGCUCUAGAACCUUCCGUUGUUCCUUCACUGGUAGCUGCGGGGCCGGUUGGGGCUGAGGUGGUAGAGGCUCUGCACCAGCUCGUCCACCUCAUCGUCCACGUCGUCGUCCACCUCGGCGCCGCUCGCCUCCCCUCCCCCGCCCCCGCCUGCCUCCCGAUGCCUCUCCUCCAGGCCCAGGCUCAGCAGCUCCUUCCAGAAGCUCUCCGUGUCCUCGCCGUCCGCGCGCCUGCCCUCGCCGCCGUCGGCGAGCCCGGGGCCGUAGCCUCGCGCCGGGGCGCCGUAGCUGCUCUCGCCGUUGCGGGGGAGGAGGUACUCGAUGGGGCGGCCGCGCUUCUUGGAGAGGAGCGCCUCCGCGAGCUCCUUCCGCCGGCUCUGGUCCUGCCGCUCCACCAGCAUCUGCAGGAAGCUGGGGCUCUUCAUGGCGCGCGCCAGGAACACCGUCAUCUGCUGCUGCUUCUGCUCCGUGGCGGCCAGGCGCGCCUCCAUCUCCUGCAUCUGCGCGCGCGUCGCCUGCUGCUCCUGCCGCAGCUUCACCACCUCCGCGAUCAGGGUGCCCUUGUCGCGCUGCAGCCGCUGCACCUUGCCCUCGGGCCCGAAAUGCCCCACCUCCAGGCACGCACCCUGCUGUUGCCCCUGCUGCAGCAGCGCCGGCGUGCCCGCCGGCGACGACUGAGGCCGGCGCCGCCUGAUCGUCUUCAGCAGCUCCUUCUGCCCCCGCAGGAACCCCUCCGCCGCGAACUCCCACCUGUCCGGAUCAACCUUCCUGAACCCCUGCGAUGCAACACAAACGACCCAAUCGGGUUGAGUUUUUCUGGAACAAAACCAAUCAGAAACUUACAUAGGUGUUGA